UACGUAGGCAGCAAGCGUUGUUCGGAGUUACUGGGCGUAAAGGGUGCGUAGGCGGUCCCUUAAGUUCGGUGUGAAAUCUCCCGGCUCAACUGGGAGGGUGCGCCGGAAACUGAGGGACUAGAGUGCGGGAGGGGAGAGCGGAAUUCCUGGUGUAGCGGUGAAAUGCGUAGAUAUCAGGAGGAACACCGGUGGUGCAGACGGCUCUCUGGACCGUAACUGACGCUGAGGCACGAAAGCGUGGGUAGCAAACAGG
rnacentral:rRNA from 1 species